CUGCCAUGGAGGUCCGGACGGAGGUGGACCUUUCCCUGCUUCUGGUCGGGGUGCUGGCAGGCGCCCCAGCUUUGCUUCCUCUGGGCCUUACAUAGCCUCAGGUCGGGAAAAUUCUGACAAGAAAAAAAGGCGCCUGUUAUCACUGAGAUAGAUACUUUUGACUGGGUACAAGAACUGUUUAGCUAUAAAGUCCACUGUGUCAAUCAAGAUAAGAAGUAAGCCUUCACAGAAAAUCGUAGCCAAGGAAAAACAGGGACAGGUAUUCUUAGGAUUCUUUUCUCUCAGAGAACUGAACAUUAUGUUGUUUUCCAUUUGAAAACACACGAAACAGUGCAGAUAGCUAAGGCAAUAAGAAGUCAAUAAAGUGAGCUGGAGAAGAGAAUGACCCCAGAGACGAGUAAGAGUCUCCCAAAGCAACAAGUUACCUGUGAGUUGCGUAUGCAUGAGGUGGGCCUGAGGCAAGAAGCACUAACUUCAAGAACUGAACAAAGGCAUCAACCUCUACACCUCUGCUCUUCUGAACCAGUGACUCCAGAUCCCAAGGGACCGCACAAGCUGGACAUAUAUAUGGAGUGUGAGUGAUGUAUAGAUACAAAUUGACAUUGAUAAAGAUCUGGAAAGGUAAGAAACCCUGUUUGCAGACAGGAAUUUUAAAAAUUUGCAGUCAAAAGCUAAUAUGAUUGGUCAUCUGCAAAAAUAACAAUAAUCAUUUAAAAUAACACUUUUUAGGCUUUUACAAGACUCAUACAUACCUAAACAAUGAAUAUUCAAAAAGUCCUAAACACAAUAAAAUGAGUCUAAAAAUGAAGAAUCUGUUAAAAGUGACUACCAAGAUGACAUAUUUGUUAAGAUGGUCAGACAAAGGCUUUCAAGCAAGUAAAAUUGAACACAUGAAACAAAAGAAGAAAAAUAAUUUAUUUGGCAAAGGAAUGCGAUUAUAUAAAGAGAACAAAAGACGAUGGAAUCAAAAUUACUUCUUUGAGGACUUUUUAAAAAAUCCUGAAAUGUAUGUGGAACAACAAUAAGCCUGCAAUAGCAAAAGCCAUCUCAAGCAAAAAGAAAAAGCAGAAGGAUAACUUUAAAAUAUAUUACACAGUCAUAGUUAUCAAAGUAACACAGUACUACCACAGAAUAGGCACAUAGAUUGUGAUGGUUACUGUCAUCAAUUUGACAGAAUGCAUAAUCACCCGGGGAUACAACCUCUGGGUAUUCCUGUGAGAAACGAUCUAGAUUAGGUCAGCUUCUGAUCACGCCUUUCAGACUGAUACAAGUUUCCCACCCUCCUCCUCUUCAGACUGUCUUUCUACAUAGCCACUAAGAGUUGCCCACUAACUGCACAGGUCCUGGACCACACUCCAGCCUGAAAACUACACAUGGCAGAAGAGUUAUUCUCCAAAGGAAAGCCAUUGAUGAUGCAUUUUCAGUUGCCAGUAUUAAUUGGAUUGCUUUCAUGACAUUGCUUCCUGUGUCAAAUGUGCAAUUUGCUUCAACCUUUUACUGACCUUGCAGGUUACUGAUGCUCAUUUUCAGCAUUAUGCAUCUAAAAACAAAUAAUUUUUGGACUUUUGUUCUUAAACAAAAAGAUAGUUCUUAGACCUCAGGAAAUCCUCUGCCUCUGCCUGCUAAGUACUAGGAUUAUAGAUGCAAGCCACCAUGCCCAACAUAGUUUGAUAAAUGUUUAAGGGACUUUGUUUUUUCAUAUGUGUAUAUAUAUAUAUGUGUGUGUAUACAUCUAUAAGUGUAUUGUCACAUGUAUGCAAUUGCCUGUGGAAACUGGAAAAGUUUUGGAUCCCCUUUGUUAGAGUCAGAGACAGUUCUGAGCUGCCCUGUGUAGGUGCUGGGAACCAAAACCAAAUCUAUCCUCUGGAAGAAGAGCAAUCACUCUCAAGCACCAGAUUGUGUCUUCAGGCACUUGAUAAACCUUUUUAUAACUCUUGGUAUGGAUUUUGAUUUUUGUCUGUUUCUAGUGUUGUUACUGAGAUGAUAAUAUGGUUUUCUUUUUUAUGUUGAUAUGAUACAAUCACAGUCAUUAAAACAUAUUAGGCCAGCAUUUCAGUGCUUGACUAAGCCUUCAAUUUGUCAUGAGGCACUAUCAUUUUUAUAAAUUGCUGCACUCAGUAUACUACUUUUUUAUGGUUUUUCAAGAUAGAGUUUCUGUGUGUAACAGUUCUGUCUGUCCUGGAACUUCCUUUGUAGACCAGGCUAAUCUUG